GUGUUCACUUAGGCAGCACAUAUACUAAAAUUGGAAUGAUAUAGACAAGGUUAGCAUGGCCCCUGCACAAGGAUGAGAUGGAAAUUCAUCAAGGUUUUCAUAUUAAA